rnacentral:rRNA from 1 species
ACGGAAGGCAGCAGUGGGGAAUAUUGCACAAUGGGCGAAGGCCUGAUGCAGCGACGCCGCGUGAGCGAUGAAGUAUUUCGGUAUGUAAAGCUCUAUCAGCAGGGAAGAAAAAUGACGGUACCUGACUAAGAAGCUCCGGCUAAAUACGUGCCAGCAGCCGCGGUAAUACGUAUGGAGCAAGCGUUAUCCGGAUUUACUGGGUGUAAAGGGAGCGUAGACGGCAGUGCAAGUCAGAAGUGAAAGCCCGGGGCUUAACUCCGGGACUGCUUUUGAAACUGUGCAGCUAGAGUGCAGGAGAGGUAAGCGGAAUUCCUAGUGUAGCGGUGAAAUGCGUAGAUAUUAGGAGGAACACCAGUGGCGAAGGCGGCUUACUGGACUGUAACUGACGUUGAGGCUCGAAAGCGUGGGGAGCAAACAGGAUUAGAUACCCUGGUA